ACGACUACAUAUCAGGCAUAUCAAUAAGCGGAGGAAAAGAAACUAACUAGGAUUCCCUCAGUAACGGCGAGUGAAGCGGGAAGAGCUCAAAUUUGAAAUCUUCAAGGUUCUACCUUGACGAAUUGUAGUUUAAAGAAGUGUUUUCUGUUGGAGUUUUGGUAAAGUUCUUUGGAAUAGGACAUCAUAGAGGGUGAGAAUCCCGUAUUUGACCAUUAUUUCCAGCUUUGUGAUACACUUUCAAAGAGUCGGAUUGUUUGGGAAUGCAGUCCAAAAUGGGUGGUAAAUUUCAUCUAAAGCUAAAUAUUGGCGAGAGACCGAUAGCGAACAAGUACCGUGAGGGAAAGAUGAAAGAACUUUGAAAAGAGAGUUAAACAGUACGUGAAAUUGUCAAAAGGGAAGCGUUUGACACCAGUGUUGUUUUCUCGAAAAUCAAUUAAAAAAGUUGGAUUUUGUGUUGUAUUGACCUUAACAGCUUGCUUCACUCUUUUCCAGCUUUUUUUAAUGCACUUUUCGUUUAACAAGUCAACAUCAGUUUCUUUUGUUGUAAAAGGGUCAUUGGAAGGUGGCUUUCUCUUCGGAGAAAGUGUUUAUAGCCUUUGAUCUCUGCAAUCGGAGAGACUGAGGUCUGCAGCGUAGAUCCUUCGGGGUUAGAUACAUUUGUGCUAAGCUACAGCUUUUCAUAGACAACUUGUUGACUAUGUUUAGUCUUGUGACUUACCCGCUUAUGCUAUUUUACCUACGCUUAGGAUGUUGAGCGCAUGUCUCUCUCU
rnacentral:rRNA from 1 species